CAGUGUGAGGUAUCACACUAUUUUUUAUGAUCAGUAACUGCCAUCCAAAAAGGAGUAUUCCAUACAGACUUGUCUCCUUGGCGACUGGCCGUUCCCUCACCUCCGUUGUGGCCGACGUAGUUGCCCUCCACCAGCGCCACGCUGACAGGCCGGCGGGAGGAGAAUCGCUCGUCCUCGCUGUCCAGGUCGCUCUCCCAGGCCAGCAGCUCGCCCUCCUCGUUAAAGUUGUCGCCCGCGACGCCGCCGUGGCCCGACAGGUAGCCGUCGCCCUCCCCGCCGUCCUCGCUGUCCUUGCGGCAGAACACGGCCACGCCGUAGAUGCAGUUGUGCACGAUGCGGUUCCCCGACAGCUGGGGCAGGCUGGACGACAUCACCCAAAUGCCACAGCCCCGGUUACCUACCCAAACGGAAAAACUGCUUCAUUCUUCAUAUUUACCAUCAUGUCAAGUGCAUUGUUAAGCCUUUAAGCCGGGCUAACUGCGGUUAGCUUGGUAGGCUGCUUCGACUGCAAACUUUCAUUCCAGUGAGCCACUCCAUCUAUGUCACUUGAUUGUCUAAGAUAAAAUGGCUUCUUUCUCCCGUUUGAGUUGGACAAUCUGUUGAAAUGAAAGGGCCCUGAUUGGGAACUGACAGGUGGGUAGGUGCCAUAUUGGAUGAAUAUUGAGGCCGUCCAAAUGAAACAAACUCAAAUGGACAGGAAAUAUGGAACUCCUUGAAUGUUUCUACAAUAUUGCUUUCUGUUACCAGUAGAGCCAUUACACCAGCAUUAGAAUGUUCAGUUAAGAACAUUAACUGAACAUAAUCAUAUUUUUGAUCUUACACCUUAUAAAGGGAUAACCCUCUGGAGGGAGAAAGAGAUGGACAGAUGAGCAAAGGCCACCUACAGUAGAUGUGGUUUCCCUCGAUGAGCCCGCGGCCUCUCUCCCCCACCACCACUCCAUCGGAGUAGCCAUGACAGAUGAAGUUGUUCCUCAUGACCGGGUCUCCUCCUCUCCUGAUAUCUGCACCUCCCCACUGGUUCUCCCAAAUAACAUUGUCUGUUGGGGUAAGGGGAGCAGGAGUCUGGAGCAGUAAGCUGUAUAAUGGCAGGGUUCAGAACGGGUUUGUGUAACAGUGAUCAGCCUCACAGAGACCUGGCACAGUCAAGUGGCCCGCAGGAAGUGAUGCGUACCAACAAUCAGGCCCCGCCCAUUCUCAUUCACAGCAAUGCCUGCUGCCUGGCCCUGGAAGAUGCGAUUCCCACUGAAAGACACCGAUGUAGAUGCCUGCCUCCUUGUUGCCGUAGAUCUGGUUGCUUCGGAUGGAACCUUUCCCGUUUCCAAGGACAACAAUUCCGGAACGCAGACCACUGUGUAUUCUGUUACACUUCAGAGGAAGACGGAGAGAAGCGAGCAAAGCUUGAAUCUGUCUGUGACAAGAAAAAGCAGCCCUCCUUUUCCAAAUAAAUCAUUUCUAAA